rnacentral:rRNA from 1 species
UCUUGGUCAUUUAGAGGAAGUAAAAGUCGUAACAAGGUUUCCGUAGGUGAACCUGCGGAAGGAUCAUUAUUGAAUGAAACUGAGUGGGGUUGUAGCUGGCCUCAGCAAUGGGGCAUGUGCACACCUUGCUCAUCCAACCUUCUACACCUCUGUGCACUUCUCAUGGGUGGGGUCUGAGCCUGAUAUUAUCGGUGACGGCCCUUCCUGUGUGUUUAACAACAUACACAUGUCUGUUUUAGAAUGUUACAAUUGUGCAUGAAUGCAUAUAAAUACAACUUUCAGCAACGGAUCUCUUGGCUCUCGCAUCGAUGAAGAACGCAGCGAAAUGCGAUAAGUAAUGUGAAUUGCAGAAUUCAGUGAAUCAUCGAAUCUUUGAACGCACCUUGCGCUCCUUGGUAUUCCGAGGAGCAUGCCUGUUUGAGUGUCAUGGUAUUCUCAACCCUACUGUAUUUUUGUAAGUGCAGCUGGGAUUGGAUGUGGAGGUAUGCAGGUAGACCCAUAAUUCUUUUGGGACUUGCCGGCUCCUCUGAAAUGCAUUAGCUUGAACUGUAACCAAGCAUGUUUCAGUGUGAUAAUUGUCUGCACUGCUUCAUCUCGGUAUGAAACAAAUGUUCUAGCUUCCAACCGUCCACUUUGGACAAUCUCUGAACAUCUGACCUCAAAUCAGGUAGGACUACCCGCUGAACUUAAGCAUAUCAAUAG